rnacentral:rRNA from 1 species
GCAGCCGCGGUAAUACGGAGGAUUCGAGCGUUAUCCGGAUUUAUUGGGUUUAAAGGGAGCGUAGGCGGGUUGUCAAGUCAGUUGUGAAAUGUAGUCGCUCAACGUCUGCACUGCAAUUGAAACUGGCGACCUUGAGUGCGUAAGAGGCAGGCGGAAUUCGUCGUGUAGCGGUGAAAUGCUUAGAUAUGACGAAGAACUCCGAUUGCGAAGGCAGCUUGCUAGUCCGUAACUGACGCUGAAGCUCGAAGGUGCGGGUAUCGAACAGGAUUAGAUACCCC